rnacentral:rRNA from 1 species
UUAAGCGUACGACGGGCAAGGCGCCGACGUAAGGACGUAAACGGUGAUUGGGGCU